rnacentral:tRNA from 1 species
GCGCCCGUAGCUCAACUGGAUAGAGUACCUGCCUUCGGAGCAGGAUGUUGAAGGUUCGAAUCCUUCCGGGCGUACCA